rnacentral:rRNA from 1 species
CAGCCGCCACGGUAAUACGGAGGGUGCAAGCGUUAAUCGGAAUUACUGGGCGUAAAGCGCACGCAGGCGGUCUGUCAAGUCGGAUGUGAAAUCCCCGGGCUCAACCUGGGAACUGCAUCCGAAACUGGCAGGCUAGAGUCUUGUAGAGGGGGGUAGAAUUCCAGGUGUAGCGGUGAAAUGCGUAGAGAUCUGGAGGAAUACCGGUGGCGAAGGCGGCCCCCUGGACAAAGACUGACGCUCAGGUGCGAAAGCGUGGGGAGCAAACAGGAUUAGAUACCCGCGUAGUCCCUGUCUCUUAUAC